UACGGAGGAUGCAAGCGUUAUCCGGAUUUAUUGGGUUUAAAGGGUGCGUAGGCGGAAUGAUAAGUCAGUGGUGAAAUCCUGCAGCUUAACUGUAGAACUGCCAUUGAUACUGUCAUUCUUGAGUUCGGUUGAGGUAGGCGGAAUGUGUAAUGUAGCGGUGAAAUGCAUAGAUAUUACACAGAACACCGAUUGCGUAGGCAGCUUACUAAGCCGUUACUGACGCUGAGGCACGAAAGCGUGGGGAUCGAACAGG
rnacentral:rRNA from 1 species